rnacentral:ncRNA from 1 species
GGUAAACGGGAAUGAGGUUCUCCCACGGAUAUAAUCCGAAACCGCAUUUAAAUCUGAUUUUUAAUGCUGAUGACUUCUGCGAA